rnacentral:rRNA from 1 species
GUUACACAUCUGGCUGUCGAGAUGCCUAAAAAGCAUUGCAAAACAAGGGCCGGGCAAGACCGGUGCCAGCCGCCGCGGUAACACCGGCGGCUCGAGUGGUAACCGUUAUUAUUGGGUCUAAAGGGUCUGUAGCCGGCCGGAUAAGUCUCUUGGGAAAUCCAGCAGCUCAACUGUUGGGCUUUCAGGAGAUACUGUCUGGCUCGAGGCCGGGAGAGGUGAGAGGUACUUCAGGGGUAGGGGUGAAAUCUUGUAAUCCUUGAAGGACCACCAGUGGCGAAGGCGUCUCACCAGAACGGACCUGACGGCAAGGGACGAAAGCUAGGGGCACGAACCGGACUAGAUACCCGGGUAGUCCUAGCCGUAAACGAUACUCGCUAGGUGUCGGCCACGGUGCGACCGUUGUCGGUGCCGUAGGGAAGCCGUGAAGCGAGCCACCUGGGAAGUACGGCCGCAAGGCUGAAACUUAAAGGAAUUGGCGGGGGAGCAC